GACGAACGCUGGCGGCGUGCUUAACACAUGCAAGUCGAACGGAAAGGCCCUGCUUGCAGGGUACUCGAGUGGCGAACGGGUGAGUAACACGUGGGUGUUCUGCCCUGCACUUCGGGAUAAGCCUGGGAAACUGGGUCUAAUACCGGAUAGGAGCCAUUUUUAGUGUGAUGGUUGGAAAGUUUUUUCGGUGUAGGAUGAGCUCGCGGCCUAUCAGCUUGUUGGUGGGGUAAUGGCCUACCAAGGCGGCGACGGGUAGCCGGCCUGAGAGGGUGGACGGCCACAUUGGGACUGAGAUACGGCCCAGACUCCUACGGGAGGCAGCAGGGGGGAAGAUUGCACAAGGGGCGCAAGCCUGAUGCAGCGACGCCGCGUGGGGGAUGACGGCCUUCGGGUUGUAAACUCCUUUCGCUAGGGACGAAGCUUUUUGUGACGGUACCUAGAUAAGAAGCACCGGCUAACUACGUG
rnacentral:rRNA from 1 species